GGUCACUGCUAUUGGGAUUCGACUAAGCCAUGCGAGUCGAGAGGGUUCGGCCCUCGGCUGACGGCUCAGUAACACGUGGAUAAUCUGCCCUUAGGUGGAGGAUAACCUCGGGAAACUGAGAAUAAUACUCCAUAGGUCUAGGAUGCUGGAAUGCAUCUAGACUGAAAACUCCGGUGCCUAAGGAUGAGUCUGCGGACUAUCAGGUUGUAGUCAGGGUAAAGACCUGACUAGCCUACGACGGAUACGGGUUGUGAGAGCAAUAACCCGGAGAUGAUAUCUGAGACACGAUAUCAGGCCCUACGGGGCGCAGCAGGCGCGAAAACUUCACACUGUGCGAAAGCACGAUGAGGGAAUCCCAAGUGCCAGCUCGUAAGAGUUGGCUGUUUUUCUGUUUAAAGUGCAGAGAGAGUAAGAGCUGGGUAAGACGGGUGCCAGCCGCCGCGGUAAUACCUGCAGCUCAAGUGGUGACCGUUAUUAUUGGGCCUAAAACGUUCGUAGCCGGCUUAGUAAAUGCCUGGGUAAAUCGUGUAGCUUAACUAUACGAAUUCCGGGUAGACUGCUAAGCUUGAGACCGGGAGAGGCUAGAGGUACUCCUGGGGUAGAGGUGAAAUUCUGUAAUCCUAGGGGGACCACCAGUGGCGAAGGCGUCUAGCUAGAACGGAUCUGACGGUGAGGGACGAAGCCCUGGGGCGCGAACCGGAUUAGAUACCCGGGUAGUCCAGGGUGUAAACGCUGCUUGCUUGAUGUUAGUCGGGCUCCGAGCCCGAUUAGUGUCGGAGAGAAGUUGUUAAGCAAGCUGCCUGGGAAGUACGGUCGCAAGGCUGAAACUUAA
rnacentral:rRNA from 1 species